UCUGAUCAGUUGUGUAGUGUGG
rnacentral:miRNA from 1 species